GAUGAACGCUAGCGGGAGGCCUAACACAUGCAAGCCGAGCGGUAUUGUUUCUUCGGACAUGAGAGAGCGGCGUACGGGUGCGUAACACGUGUGCAACCUGCCUUUAUCUGGGGAUAGCCUUUCGAAAGGAAGAUUAAUACUCCAUAAUAUAUUGAACGGCAUCGUUUAAUAUUGAAAGCUCCGGCGGAUAGAGAUGGGCACGCGCAAGAUUAGCUAGUUGGUGAGGUAACGGCUCACCAAGGCGAUGAUCUUUAGGGGGCCUGAGAGGGUGAUCCCCCACACUGGUACUGAGACACGGACCAGACUCCUACGGGAGGCAGCAGUGAGGAAUAGUGGUCAAUGGGUGCAAGCCUGAACCAGCCAUCCCGCGUGAAGGACGACUGCCCUAUGGGUUGUAAACUUCUUUUGUAUAGGGAUAAACCUACCCUCGAGAGGGUAGCUGAAGGUACUAUACGAAUAAGCACCGGCUAACUCCGUG
rnacentral:rRNA from 1 species